UACGGGGGGGGCAAGCGUUGUUCGGAAUUACUGGGCGUAAAGGGCUCGUAGGCGGCCAACUAAGUCGGACGUGAAAUCCCCAGGCUCAACCUGGGAACUGCGUCCGAUACUGGAUGGCUUGAAUUCGGGAGAGGGAUGCAGAAUCCCAGGUGUAGCGGUGAAAUGCGUAGAUAUCUGGAGGAAUACCGGUGGCGAAGGCGGCAUCCUGGACCGACAUUGACGCUGAUGAGCGAAAGCCAGGGGAGCAAACGGG
rnacentral:rRNA from 1 species